rnacentral:misc_RNA from 1 species
GAAAGGACAGGACGCUCCGGAGCUGUGCUGGAUUUCUGUCACCUAGUUAUCCCCGUCAUAUUUGGACCUUUUGAACCGUUUUUCCACCUUGCGCCACCCGGCGUAGUGAAUGAACUUACGCUCUUGGCACCAAGAACUGGCUCCUAACCAUGGGCAGCUCUGCACAACAGUACAGCCUUGGGUGGAGCGAUUUUGAUUCCUCUCUGAAACAUGCAGUCAAAGGACUCCGAACAAGAGGCGAUCUUGUGGACGUGACUUUAUCUGCAGGAGGACGAACAUUCCUUGCACACAAAGUUGUUCUUUCUGCGGCUAGCUCCUUAUUUUUAGACCUGUUAAAGGUGGCUCAAUGUCAGCAUCCCGUAAUUUUAUUAGCAGGCAUUGGUGCAACUGAACUAGAACAAGUGCUGGAUUUUGUGUACACCGGUGCGGUGAGUGUACACCCCUCUGAGUUGACCGCUCUUUUGCAAGCAGCUCAUAUUCUCUGUAUACGUGGUCUCGUUGAAGGAUCCAUUACUGCCGAUGAACCAGAACUUCAGGGUGAGGCUGAGGCAGCCCUAGCCAUCUCAUCUGAGGCUGGUCAAAAAGUCAAUGCAGCGUCACUUGCUGCAGCAACAAAGACAGACAUUUUAGCUACAGUUAGUGCAUCAGAAUCAUCCUGUCGCAAAAGGAAGCCAAAGACAGAGGACUGCGAUAGCAGAGACAGACCUCACGAAAAGUGGGGAAAAGUUGAUUCUGAAGAUGAUGACUCUGAUAUUGAAAGUACCCCCAAAGAAAAUCCCACAAUCACAACAGGAACUCAAACAAAGCCAGCACAAACCCAUGUGAGCCAAACCAUAAAGAAAGUUGUUAGUAGCGUGACAGAAGAUGCACCGAAGUGUCAGAAGCAAAAUGCCAGCAAUUCAGCAUUAUUACCUCCUGAUAUUCCGAGGACUGCCUCAUCACUUGUCGAUGAUUCAAAUUUAAUUCCUGCUCAUCAUUUAGUCAUGAAUGAUGAGGAAAACAAGGAUGAUUCAUAUGGAGAUGUUGCAGCAGCUGCUGAUGCUGCAGCCCUUGCAGCUUCAAUAUUGGCAGACAAAAAAGGUCUUUCGGAUCAACCUGCUGCUUGUCCUCUUUGCCAUGCUAUCAUUCGUCAAUCAAGAAACCUGCGCCGCCACCUUGAAUUAAAACACUUUGGAAGAAAGCCAAACAAAAACAAAAGUGGAAAGCGGAAAAAAAGCGCAAGUCAAGGUGAUACAGAUAAUGAGUCAAAUGCUGGCUCAGUGGCAGACACCUCAGUUAUUGAUCACGUUCAAGUAGAGAUGAAGAGCCCCUCAGUUUGUGAUACAGGUCUGCCUUCAGUUUCCACAUCUUCCUCAAGCAGCCCAACCCAUAAUCAUCCUUCCAAACUUCAUACCUUGACUGAAUUACAGCCAGCCCACCAACAUCAUAAUGUUGAAGCCUAUCUCCAUCAGCAACAACUUCAGCAGCUCGACUCAUUCCCUCCUCAUGUUGGCAUCAACCCGGCAUCAACGAAUGCCACUUAUCAGAUACCAUACCCUCACCCCCAUCCGCACCUAUCUAUGCUUCGAGGUGAUCCUCAUGCAAUAUUGGGGUCAGCGGAGAGCAUUGCAUUUCGCGCUCAACAGCAGUUCUCAUUAUACAGAGGAAACACAAGUUCCUCAAAUCAUGAAUAGCAUCAGCCAAAUUUCUUAUAUUGGAUGUUGAUGUUGUGUCCUGCACCUGUCAUGCACCAAUUUGAGAAAAGGAAACAGGCGCAACAGGAGUGCUUUCUUCAUUUUGGAGAUUUUUUUAUUUCGGACCCUUUUUGAGAUCCAUUUUAUCAGGAGUAAGUUUGUUUUCAUUGCAGAAGUCAUAUGGUAAAACAAAAUAAAUGCGAGCUACAAGUA